ACAGGUGGUGCAUGUUGUCGUCAGCUCGUGUCGUGAGGUGUGGUUAAGUCCGCAACGAGCGCAACCCUACUUGUUAGUUGCCAUCAUUCAGUUGGGCACUCUAGCGAGACUGCCGGUAAUAAACCGGAGGAAGGUGGGAUGACGUCAAAUCAUCAUGCCCCUUAUGACCUGGGCUACACACGUGCUACAAUGGUUGGUACAACGAGUUGCGAGUCGGUGACGGCGAGCUAAUCUACUUAAAGCCAAUCUCAGUUCGGAUUGUAGGCUGCAACUCGCCUACAUGAAGUCGGAAUCGCUAGUAAUCGCGGAUCAGCACGCCGCGGUGAAUACGUUCCCGGGCCUU
rnacentral:rRNA from 1 species